UACAGAGGGGUGCAAACGUUGUUCGGAAUUACUGGGCGUAAAGCGUGUGUAGGCGGCUACAUAAGUCGGAUGUGAAAGCCCCGGGCUCAACCCGGGAAGUGCACUCGAUACUGCGUAGCUUGAGUCUCGGAGAGGUUGGUGGAAUUCUCGGGUGUAGAGGUGAAAUUCGUAGAUAUCGAGAGGAACACCGGUGGCGAAGGCGGCCAACUGGACGAAGACUGACGCUGAGACACGAAAGCGUGGGGAGCAAACAGG
rnacentral:rRNA from 1 species